CAAAAAAUCUAAAGAGAAGCUUUGUGAUGAGGGAUUCCUUACUCGUGACGUUCCCGAAGCUAAAGUGGAAAGGCAAAGGGGAGAUCAGAGGAGAAUAGAGAUGUACUACAAUACGUUACUGGAAUCCCCUGAUAUAAUGAAAGCUUCCAAUUGACAGUAUUUCUGUGAUGAAGUUGAGGCUGACAGUUUUGUACCCAGGAGGCUCUUCCUAUUCAGAGUACACGAAUUCAAGACUGGAGGAUCUAACAAAGUCGUGGAAGUGGGUGAUACGUCAUUUCCUCCAUGCUCUACAUGUUCUGAUGACGCAUCAAAGGCAGUUACCAAGGAAGAGUUCACUCGUCAUAUAAGGAAGGCUUUCGGAUUUAAGUAAAAAAAA